rnacentral:rRNA from 1 species
AUGACUGUGAGGGAAACUUUAGACUUCUCAGCCCAGUGCCAAGGUGUUGGAAGAAGACCAAAAAUACUCAAGGAGGUGAACACAAGGGAGAGUGUGGCUGGGAUCAUACCUGAUGCGGACAUCGAUCUAUACAUGAAGGUAGUAGCAGUUGAAGCUUCAGAGCGAAGCCUACAGACAGAUUAUAUUUUGAAGAUCAUGGGGCUAGAGAUAUGUGCAGACACGAUGGUUGGGGAUGCAAUGAGAAGAGGAAUAUCAGGGGGGCAGAAGAAAAGAUUAACCACAGCCGAGAUGAUUGUGGGCCCUGCAAAAGCAUACUUUAUGGAUGAAAUAUCAAAUGGUCUGGAUAGCUCUACCACUUUUCAUAUAAUCAAUUGUUUCCAGCAACUGACAAACAUCAGCGAGUACACGAUGGUUAUUUCACUUCUUCAACCAACACCUGAGGUAUUUGAUCUUUUUGAUGACCUCAUACUAAUGGCAGAAGGGAAGAUUAUCUACCAUGGCCCUCGAAAUGAAGCUCUCAAUUUUUUUGAGGAGUGUGGGUUCAUAUGCCCAGAAAGAAAAGCGGCAGCUGACUUUCUCCAAGAGAUCUUGUCCUGGAAGGACCAACAACAGUACUGGUUGGGUCCACAUGAAUCAUACAGAUAUAUCUCACAUCAUGAAUUAUCAAGCAUGUUCAAGGAGAAUCACAGGGGGAGAAAACUAGAUGAGCAAAGUGUACCUCCCAUAAGCGAGUUGGGCAAGGAAGCUUUAGCACUCAAUAAGUAUUCGCUACGAAAACUGGAAAUGUUCAAAGCCUGUGGAGCAAGGGAAGCACUCCUAAUGAAAAGUAAUAUGUUUGUUUAUGUCUUCAAAACAGGCCAGCUUGCCAUUAUUGCACUCGUAACAAUGUCUAUAUUCCUUCGAACUCGCAUGACAAUAAGUUUCACUCACGCAAAUUACUACAUUGGAGCAUUAUUUUUUUCCAUCUUCAUGAUUAUGCUAAAUGGCAUACCAGAGAUGAGCAUGCAGAUUGGGAGACUCCCAAGUUUUUACAAGCAAAAGAGCUACUAUUUCUGUUCAUCAUGGGCAUAUGCAAUACCAGCUUCAGUCCUAAAGGUCCCUGUUUCGAUACUAGAUUCGCUUGUAUGA